UGCUCACUUUGGUAACACUAAGCUAAAAGUGGAAACAUACAGAGAAGACUAGCAUGGCUGAUGUGCAGGGAUGACACGCAAAUUCGUGAAGUGUUCUGUAUUUAU